CCAAGCUUGCUUGGUGGAUCAGUGGCGAACGGGUGAGUAACACGUGAGCAACCUGCCCUGAACUCUGGGAUAAGCGCUGGAAACGGCGUCUAAUACUGGAUAUGAGCUGCGGAGGCAUCUUCGUGGUUGGAAAGAUUUUUCGGUUUGGGAUGGGCUCGCGGCCUAUCAGCUUGUUGGUGAGGUAAUGGCUCACCAAGGCGUCGACGGGUAGCCGGCCUGAGAGGGUGACCGGCCACACUGGGACUGAGACACGGCCCAGACUCCUACGGGAGGCAGCAGUGGGGAAUAUUGCACAAUGGGCGGAAGCCUGAUGCAGCAACGCCGCGUGAGGGAUGACGGCCUUCGGGUUGUAAACCUCUUUUAGCAGGGAAGAAGCGAAAGUGACGGUACCUGCAGAAAAAGCGCCGGCUAACUACGUGCCAGCAGCCGCGGUAAUACGUAGGGCGCAAGCGUUAUCCGGAAUUAUUGGGCGUAAAGAGCUCGUAGGCGGUUUGUCGCGUCUGCUGUGAAAACCCGAGGCUCAACCUCGGGCCUGCAGUGGGUACGGGCAGACUAGAGUGCGGUAGGGGAGAUUGGAAUUCCUGGUGUAGCGGUGGAAUGCGCAGAUAUCAGGAGGAACACCGAUGGCGAAAGGCAGAUCUCUGGGCCGUAACUGACGCUGAGGAGCGAAAGGGUGGGGAGCAAACAGGCUUAGAUACCCUGGUAGUCCACCCCCGUAAACGUUGGGAACUAGUUGUGGGGUCCAUUCCACGGAUUCCGUGACGCAGCUAACGCAUUAAGUUCCCCGCCUGGGGAGUACGGCCGCAAGGCUAAAACUCAAAGGAAUUGACGGGGACCCGCACAAGCGGCGGAGCAUGCGGAUUAAUUCGAUGCAACGCGAAGAACCUUACCAAGGCUUGACAUACACGAGAACGCUGCAGAAAUGUAGAACUCUUUGGACACUCGUGAACAGGUGGUGCAUGGUUGUCGUCAGCUCGUGUCGUGAGAUGUUGGGUUAAGUCCCGCAACGAGCGUAACCCUCGUUCUAUGUUGCCAGCACGUAAUGGUGGGAACUCAUGGGAUACUGCCGGGGUCAACUCGGAGGAAGGUGGGGAUGACGUCAAAUCAUCAUGCCCCUUAUGUCUUGGGCUUCACGCAUGCUACAAUGGCCGGUACAAAGGGCUGCAAUACCGCGAGGUGGAGCGAAUCCCAAAAAGCCGGUCCCAGUUCGGAUUGAGGUCUGCAACUCGACCUCAUGAAGUCGGAGUCGCUAGUAAUCGCAGAUCAGCAACGCUGCGGUGAAUACGUUCCCGGGUCUUGUACACACCGCCCGUCAAGUCAUGAAAGUCGGUAACACCUGAAGCCGGUGGCCCAACCCUUGUGGAGGGAGCCGUCGAAGGUGGGAUCGGUAAUUAGGACUAAGUCGUAACAG
rnacentral:rRNA from 1 species